UACGUAGGGCGCAAGCGUUGUCCGGAAUUAUUGGGCGUAAAGAGCUCGUAGGCGGCUCGGUAAGUCGGGUGUGAAACCCCCAGGCUCAACCUGGGGACGCCACCCGAUACUGCUGUGGCUAGAGUCCAGUAGGGGAGUGUGGAAUUCCCGGUGUAGCGGUGAAAUGCGCAGAUAUCAGGAGGAACACCGAUGGCGAAGGCAGGUCUCUGGGCAUUAACUGACGCUGAGGAGCGAAAGCAUGGGGAGCGAACAGG
rnacentral:rRNA from 1 species